rnacentral:rRNA from 1 species
UCGGGAAUUUUGGGCGAUGGGCGAAAGCCUGACCCAGCAACGCCGCGUGAGGGAUGAAGUAUUUCGGUAUGUAAACCUCGAAAGAAUGGGAAGAAUAAAUGACGGUACCAUUUAUAAGCUCCGGCUAACUACGUGCCAGCAGCCGCGGUAAUACGUAGGGAGCAAGCGUUGUUCGGAUUUACUGGGCGUAAAGGGCGCGUAGGCGGCGCGGUAAGUCACUUGUGAAAUCUCUGAGCUUAACUCAGAACGGCCAAGUGAUACUGCUGUGCUAGAGUGCGGAAGAGGCAACCGGAAUUCUUGGUGUAGCGGUGAAAUGCGUAGAUAUCAAGAGGAACACCUGAGGCGAAGGCGGGUUGCUGGGCCGACACUGACGCUGAUGCGCGAAAGCCAGGGGAGCAAACG